UACGGGGGGGGCAAGCGUUGUUCGGAAUUACUGGGCGUAAAGGGCUCGUAGGCGGCCAACUAAGUCGGAUGUGAAAUCCCCAGGCUUAACCUGGGAAUUGCAUCCGAUACUGGAUGGCUUGAAUCCGGGAGAGGGAUGCGGAAUUCCAGGUGUAGCGGUGAAAUGCGUAGAGAUCGGGAAGAACAUCGGUGGCGAAAGCGCUCUACUGGACCGCAACUGACACUCAGGGACGAAAGCUAGGGGAGCGAAUGGG
rnacentral:rRNA from 1 species